AGAGUUUGAUCCUGGCUCAGGAUGAACGCUGGCGGCGUGCCUAACACAUGCAAGUCGAACGGACUUACAUUGAAGCCUAGCGAUAUGUAAGUUAGUGGCGGACGGGUGAGUAACGCGUGGGUAACCUGCCUUGUACUGGGGGACAACAGUUGGAAACGACUGCUAAUACCGCAUAAGCGCACAGCUUCGCAUGAAGCAGUGUGAAAAACUCCGGUGGUACAAGAUGGACCCGCGUCUGAUUAGCUGGUUGGUGAGGUAACGGCCCACCAAGGCGACGAUCAGUAGCCGGCCUGAGAGGGUGAACGGCCACAUUGGGACUGAGACACGGCCCAAACUCCUACGGGAGGCAGCAGUGGGGAAUAUUGCACAAUGGGGGAAACCCUGAUGCAGCAACGCCGCGUGAGUGAAGAAGUAUUUCGGUAUGUAAAGCUCUAUCAGCAGGAAAGAAAAUGACGGUACCUGACUAAGAAGCCCCGGCUAACUACGUGCCAGCAGCCGCGGUAAUACGUAGGGGGCAAGCGUUAUCCGGAUUUACUGGGUGUAAAGGGAGCGUAGACGGUUUUGCAAGUCUGAAGUGAAAGCCCGGGGCUUAACCCCGGGACUGCUUUGGAAACUGUAGAACUAGAGUGCAGGAGAGGUAAGUGGAAUUCCUAGUGUAGCGGUGAAAUGCGUAGAUAUUAGGAGGAACACCAGUGGCGAAGGCGGCUUACUGGACUGUAACUGACGUUGAGGCUCGAAAGCGUGGGGAGCAAACAGGAUUAGAUACCCUGGUAGUCCACGCC
rnacentral:rRNA from 1 species